CCUAGAUUCAAGAAAAAGGAAAUUGGAUUCCAUUUCUUGGUGUGGGAAUAACAAAUUCACACUGUAGAAAGCUUGUGGGAAGGGAGAUAUUAUUAUAGUCAUAUAUAUAUGACUAUAUAUAUAUAUAUAUAUAUUUUUUUUUUUUUUAAUGGUGAAAAACUUUGUACUUAGAAUUAACCAGCUGGACUCAGUUUAGAUGAUCUCACUUUUUUUUUUUUUUUUUUUUUUUAGAUGAUCUCACUUUUGUUGGCAACAUCCAAAGCAUCAUAGUCAGGAGCUAGUUGAACAUAUGCCUUAUUCUCUUCAUCAGGCUUGACCAGGGUGUUAACCUUGACCAUAUCAAUGUCAUAGAGCUUCAACGCCUGUUUGAUCUGGUGCUUGUUGGUUUUGACAUCCACAACAAGUAGAAGUGUGUUGUUGUCUUCUGUCUUCUUCAUGGCUGACCCGGUGGUCAGGGGGCUUGAUGAUGGCAUAGGGGUCAAACUUGUUUCUCCUGAGGGUACCCUUCUGAGGAUAUUUGGGAUGUCUUCAGAGCCACAGUGUCUUGGGCACUCAGAAGGAAGAGA
rnacentral:lncRNA from 1 species